ensembl:lncRNA
GGAGGCAACGACAAAACCUACAUUUGCGCUAACUCUAACGGCACUGCCACGUUCUUCUUUGCCCUCCUGAACAACAACACCCUAGAGAUUCAGAAUGACACUACGAGCAUCAGUAAUGUGUCCGCUUCAGUCAACUCGACCACCAUCCAGUGUGUGUUUGCUGUGACUGGCCUAAACGCAUCAAUGUCCCGUAGCGCUGACAACACCUUUGCUGUCGUACUGGCCACAGGGACUCUUUCUUCUGAUGGUACACCUUCAACCCCAACUGUGAAGACGGUCACCGCUCUGCUGGACCUGUCCAACCCAAGUAGCAGCAACACAGCCACAGUAACUACUGCUCCCAACGUUACAACUGAUGCCAACGCUACAACCGCUGCCACCACCACCACCACCACGGCCACAACCACAACAGUCUCAGGGGCGAACAUUGGUCUGCAACACAGUCUUUCACAAGCUCUGUUGAUUCUCUUCGGCGUCCUGGCCAUCAGUCUGUUGUGAGUCUUCCCGAGAGGCCCACAUCGCCUGUUGACAGGAAACGAUGCAUUGCUUCCCCCCACUGCCAAAGACUACAGCCUGCCUGACAGCGUCCUGCCACAGGACCAUCACUAUAUGAUGGCUACCCAUCACAUCUUAUUUAUUCAUUCAUUUCCAC